GAAGGGCAGCCUCGUGUUAUAACAGCCUACUCUUGUGGUAACUAACGCAGUCCCGGUGGGUGACAGCUCUUCUGUGACUGCAGUGAUAGGCUCCUGAGAACUCCAUUUCUUCAGCUGAACUAGGUCCUCCUCUCAACAUGGCAGAAUUAUUUAGGAUCAUGCCUCCACAUGAGUUCAGGUGGAAACAAAGUGAAUUCAAAUCACAAAGAACACAAUCCCAGGAGGAAGAGGAAUUACCUGAGGCUUCAUCAGUGCACAGGUCAUGGAGCUGCCUAGAAUAAUCUAUUCCUGCUUAGUUGCCUCUUCCUAUCAAAGGCAGUGGCAGCACUCCCUCCCACAACUAACCAGGUCCAGAACCAGGGUUAUGAGUUGGGCUACCUCAAUAUCCACCCCAACUGUGACCUGUUGGAGCAUAUGAAGGGACCAGUACUGCAGACGCAAAGCUACAGGAUUUCUGCAACACAAGGCAACAGCAGGACAUCCAAGAAGAGUCCCAGUGAGGGCCCAGCAUCCAUAGUUUAGCAGAAACCAGAGACCUCGAACCAGACCAACAAAACAACUUUUUGCAAUGAGCACUUACAAGUAAAAAUAUAUGGAUAAAAGGGUUUACUGUGUUACUCACUGUGUCCAUGUUACACUACAGCUUCCAUGACAAGACUGAUUUUUCCUUCUCUCUCUUUUUCUUUUCUUUCUCAUAAAUUUUAUUUUAUUAUAUUUUGUGAGGGGUGAGGUUGC